UCAGCUCCUUGAUCGCCCAUCCCGUGGCUUCUUUGAGUAAUGUCCUUCUGUCCCGCAGUAGAAGAUGGACUGUUCAGCUCCACACACAACGGCAGACUCCACUUCCACAUACGCCUGAGGCCCAGACUCCAGCAGGCCCCGCUCCACACAUCUGGUUAUGAGCCAGAGGCCCUGCCCGCGCCCAAGCUCCCCACUGCAGAGGAGGGAUGGAGAGCUGCCCUGAAUGACACCCCGCCCCAAGCAGCUCUCUGACAGGCCCGGCCCCGAGAAGCAGUGUGGAAAGCCAGAUGACAACAACCAAAGGGUCCUGGGGAAAUGCUGACCAGCCCAGACCCAGGAUCACACCCAAAGCCGACAGAGCGCAGCCCUGGUGCCACCCGUGCUUCGUGGGAACCCUGGACUCCGCACGUGGUCACAGUGCUAGCCACCCUGUCCUUGGACUCUUUAGUCAGGAGAAAUAGACAAAAGGGCAGACUUUACUGGGACUCACGCUCCAGCAGGAGGAAGUGAGAACAAGGAACAGGUGUACUUGUGAAGGGGCAAAAGCCACAAAGGGACCAGCAACACCUCCCGGUCAGGGCCAUUGCCUUCCCGCUUUUGCACUUCUGAAAAAUGGCUUGCUUCUAGGAAAACGAAACUUACCCCUAAAAUUCCAUUGGUUCCCAAAAGCUCACUCCUGACUGGUCCAUUUCUAACACCUCAUUUGCAUACGGUGCAAACUUAAUAGAAACCUAAAGCCCUAUAAAAACCUGUGUAAACAUACAGGCAGGUUCCAGAGCUUGAAGUGUUAACUCCUCUGUGCCCGCCGGUGCAAUAAACCUGCGUUCCCCAACCCUCCGAGUGUCGAGUGUCGCCUGGCCUCUCAGUUUCUGCAGCGCUUGCUCGCUUCCCAGGUGUGCUGCUCCCUGAACCGAGAAAGUGGCGGCGGGGGCGGGGGGGCUGGGUCUGUGCGUGUGUGGCUUAGGUGGUGCGCCCACCCCCUUGGCCGCGCUGUGUGCCGGGACCACGUGCAGGAUCUUGCUUUUGCCCCUGCCCCACCCCACCCCCACACUGAAGUGGCAGUUGGUUUGUGACUUUUUCUAUCUUCUUGUUCCUAAUUGCUCCAACUGCUCAUGCAAGCAGUUAUCUUCAGUCCCUUAGAGUUUCUUUGUAUUUUGUUGCUGGAGGAGCCAUUUGUCCAGGUGCGAGCCCUACAGCCCAGGGUCCCAGGUCCCAGCCUGCCUCAAAAGCAGGUUUGCAACCGCAGGGCACUCUUUGGCUCAGCCCGGGGAGCCCGCCCCUGAGGUGGGGUCCUGGGCACUAACCACAUGCACUGCUGCCCUUGCUCCUAUGUGCUCGCUCCCUCCAGCUUGCUUGGACUGGCAGCUGGGAGGGAAACAUCACUGCAGUUACAGCGUCCCAAGUAUCGGGGCACAAAGUAAGCCCCCUGCAGAUCAAACACCUCGUGGGACGCGUGGCAACAGAAAAUUACGGAUGGCAGAGUCCGUAUCACAAACAGCUUUCCAAGGUGACAGUUCUGCCGGUUCAGACGCAGCUUGAUUUCGAUGGGCAGGUCAACUUGCUUUUUUUAGAGAAUGCCCCUCUACACAGACACAGGCCGUGUUCUGUAGGAAAAAGACCAGUAAACUCUCCUCUAGCUCUUCCAGAAGACCUGUAUUUAUUCCAACACAGUGGCCCCAAAGUCCCCAGUCCGGGUUUGGAGUGAAUUCUGAUGAGAGACACCAGCACGUGUUGCUGUUCCAGGUGCGGAAAAAUCUCUUCUUAGCGUCCGUUCUGAGCACUAGAGACAAACCCAUGCAGCUGAGUGAGAGAGGAGGACUGGCGAGUGGUAAGUGCGUGGACUGAACCAGCGCACCGCAGGCUCCCCUCAGGUCUGGGGGCUCACUUUGCUCCAGGGGCCCUGUGUCCUUGCUGCCUUCUAGUCCUCAUCGCUUCACCCCAGUGCUCCCCGCACACCUUCCUCACAACACCCCAUAUCGUAGCUCUUUCCCAAACUUUCUUUCCAUCAAAAUGUCCCCAUCCUUCACCCACCCCUGGUGGGGAGUGUUGCCUGCCAGGAUAACUAAUCAGGUCAACACACUCAUGAGCCGGGACCUUAACUCGACCUCCCUAAAAUGUAAAUAACGUGUGAAUGUCAAAGCUUUUUUAUAGCAAGGUCAUUUUGGUGAACUUUUUUCCUGAGGGAUGCUUUUCUGAACCCCACAAAUUAUUCCUCCUCGUCAGAUUAGGCCUCUGGUUCAACAGUGUCUUUAUCCAUAAAAAACAAAAUAAAUGAUUUAGUUGCGAUUAUCGGGCUUAUAGGCUAGGUUACAGGUUGUGGAAACCAGCCUUAGGUACCAGAGGACUCUCCUGGGGAAGAGCAAUAAAACACUUCACGUCUGAUCUGUAAUAUCCCGUGUUCCUGCUAGUCCUGCGGUGAACAAAACUGCCACUUCUGCCAAGUUUCAUGGUCAGUGAUUCUAUGAUAUGGAAAAAAGGUCCAGUAUGGAUUAAAAUGAAAUCCUCACAGGCCCCACACUGACAACCUAGGACAGACUUGAACCAUCUCUCCUAAAAGUACAUUCAUUACUCAAACCACUUCACCAUGGAGUCCACAAUGUAAAGCAGUAUAAAAGAAUCUGGGGGUGCAUUUAUAUAAAGACGUGCACAGGAUAUGCAAAUCCUCAGUAUUGUUCUUCCUGGAUACCAUGUACUAUCUCAGGGUUCCCUGAUUUCAAUAUUCAAGUGUUCAUUGUUGACAAGAUAGAAUUUAUGCUGUUGGUUCCACUACAAGACACUAUUACUGUAUGAGACACUGUUGGACCUGCUCGAUGCACACAUUUCAAUUUGAAAGGAAAAAAAACGUUUAUAUUUGGAUUUGGAAUAUGAUGUUACCCUGGAAUUUAAACUUCAUUGUGUCUUAUAUUCUAGGAAAUGACUUCUAACAAAAUAACCAAAUCACACCUCAUGAGGAUCUGCUCCAAAACAAUCGAGGAGUGUUUCCUGGUCUUGUUUCUUUUUUUUUUUUUAAUUGUAUUUUUACUG